rnacentral:rRNA from 1 species
AUUGAACGCUGGCGGCAUGCCUUACACAUGCAAGUCGAACAGCAGCGCGGGAGCAAUCCUGGCGGCGAGUGGCGAACGGGUGAGUAAUAUAUCGGAACGUGCCCAUUAGUGGGGGAUAGCCCGGCGAAAGCCGGAUUAAUACCGCAUACGACCUGAGGGUGAAAGCGGGGGAUCGCAAGACCUCGCGCUAUUGGAGCGGCCGAUAUCAGAUUAGCUAGUUGGUGGGGUAAAGGCCUACCAAGGCAACGAUCUGUAGUUGGUCUGAGGGGACGACCAGCCACACUGGGACUGAGACACGGCCCAGACUCCUACGGGAGGCAGCAGUGGGGAAUUUUGGACAAUGGGCGCAAGCCUGAUCCAGCAAUGCCGCGUGCAGGAAGAAGGCCUUCGGGUUGUAAACUGCUUUUGUCAGGGAAGAAAUCCUUUGGGCUAAUACCUCGGAGGGAUGACGGUACCUGAAGAAUAAGCACCGGCUAACUACGUGCCAGCCGCCGCAGUAA